CGCUCCUUGAAAAGCUACAAAUAAUGCGAACAUAUUAGGAGUCCUGCCUGCCCGGUGACUUAGUUAAACGGCCGCGGUAUCUUGACCGUGCAAAGGUAGCAUAAUCAUUUGCCUCUUAAAUGGGGGCUGGUAUGAAUGGCAAGACGGAAAUUAAGCUGUCUCUCCCUUGGUUUCCCUAAUUUAAUUUUUCCGUGAAGAAGCGGAAAUUUAGUCGUGGGACGAGAAGACCCUGUCGAGCUUUAGUGGUUAUUUUCUAGGCAGAGUAAAGGCCGUUUGCUGCUAAUUAACUUAUAAAAGGAAUUUGUUUUACGAGGCGAAGGACCUUGUCUUGGGAAGUACGCUUUGGUUGGGGCAACCGCGGAGUAUAGAAAUCCUCCGUUAAGUUAACUAAAUGAAGUUAUAUCUUUUUUGUGGGCUUACUAUCGGAUUGAUCCGCCUGUAUGGGGGCGAACAAAUGAACAAGUUACCGCAGGGAUAACAGCGUAAUUCCCUUGGAGAGUUCGUAUUGGUAAGGGAGUUUGCGACCUCGAUGUUGGAUCGGGAUUUCCUGGGGGUGAAGCAGCUCCUAAGGGUUGGUCUGUUCGACCAUUAAAAUCUU
rnacentral:rRNA from 10 species